UACAGAGGGGGCAAGCGUUGUUCGGAAUUACUGGGCGUAAAGGGCGCGUAGGCGGCCUGCUAAGUCGAACGUGAAAUCCCUGGGCUCAACCCAGGAACUGCGUCCGAUACUGGUUGGCUUGAAUCCGGGAGAGGGAUGUGGAAUUCCUAGUGUAGCGGUGAAAUGCGUAGAUAUUAGGAAGAACACCAGUGGCGAAGGCGGCUUACUGGACUGUCACUGACACUGAGGCUCGAAAGCGUGGGGAGCAAACAGG
rnacentral:rRNA from 1 species